UACAGAGGUCCCAAGCGUUGUUCGGAUUCACUGGGCGUAAAGGGUGCGCAGGUGGGUUGGCAAGUUCGAUGUGAAAGCCCCGGGCUUAACCCGGGAAUGGCAUUGGAAACUGCUGAUCUGGAGGAUCGGAGGGGGGACUGGAAUUCUUGGUGUAGCAGUGAAAUGCGUAGAUAUCAAGAGGAACACCAGUGGCGAAGGCGGCUCACUGGCCCGAUACUGACGCUGAGGCACGAAAGCGUGGGGAGCAAACAGG
rnacentral:rRNA from 1 species